rnacentral:rRNA from 1 species
GACGAACGCUGGCGGCGUGCUUAACACAUGCAAGUCGAACGGAAAGGCCCUGCUUUUGUGGGGUGCUCGAGUGGCGAACGGGUGAGUAACACGUGAGUAACCUGCCCUUGACUUUGGGAUAACUUCAGGAAACUGGGGCUAAUACCGGAUAGGAGCUCCUGCUGCAUGGUGGGGGUUGGAAAUUUUCGGCGGUUGGGGAUGGACUCGCGGCUUAUCAGCUUGUUGGUUGGGUAGUGGCUUACCAAGGCUUUGACGGGUAGCCGGCCUGAGAGGGUGACCGGCCAAAUUGGGACUGAGAUACGGCCCAGACGACAACGGGAGGCAGCAGUGGGGAAUAUUGCACAAUGGGCGGAAGCCUGAUGCAGCAACGCCGCGUGCGGGAUGACGGCCUUCGGGUUGUAAACCGCUUUCGCCUGUGACGAAGCGUGAGUGACGGUAAUGGGUAAAGAAGCACCGGCUAACUACGUG